GGUCCUUCGGGAUGCUGACGAGCGGCGGACGGGUGAGUAAUGCAUAGGAAUCUGCCUCGUAGUGGGGGAUAGCCCGGGGAAACCCGGAUUAAUACCGCAUACGCCCUUUGGGGGAAAGCAGGGGAUCUUCGGACCUUGUGCUAUGGGAUGAGCCUAUGUCGGAUUAGCUAGUUGGUAGGGUAAAGGCCUACCAAGGCGACGAUCCGUAGCUGGUCUGAGAGGAUGAUCAGCCACAUCGGGACUGAGACACGGCCCGAACUCCUACGGGAGGCAGCAGUGGGGAAUAUUGGACAAUGGGGGCAACCCUGAUCCAGCCAUGCCGCGUGUGUGAAGAAGGCUUUCGGGUUGUAAAGCACUUUCAGUGAGGAGGAAGGCCUUAAGGUUAAUACCCUUGAGGAUUGACGUUACUCACAGAAGAAGCACCGGCUAACUCCGUGCCAGCAGCCGCGGUAAUACGGAGGGUGCAAGCGUUAAUCGGAAUUACUGGGCGUAAAGCGCGCGUAGGCGGUUUGUUAAGCGGGUUGUGAAAGCCCCGGGCUUAACCUGGGAACGGCAAUCCGAACUGGCAGGCUGAAGUGUGGUAGAGGGUAGUGGAAUUUCCGGUGUAGCGGUGA
rnacentral:rRNA from 1 species